GGAGAGGUGGCUGAGCGGCUGAAAGCAGGGGAUUGCUAAUCCCCCAUACGGGGUAAUAUCCGUAUCGAGGGUUCGAAUCCCUCCCUCUCCG
rnacentral:tRNA from 1 species